UACAGAGGGUGCGAGCGUUAAUCGGAAUUACUGGGCGUAAAGCGUGCGUAGACGGUUAUUUAAGUCGGGUGUGAAAGCCCCGGGCUCAACCUGGGAAUUGCAUUCGAGACUGAAUAGCUAGGGUACGGUAGAGGGAAGUGGAAUUUCCGGUGUAGCGGUGAAAUGCGUAGAUAUCAGGAGGAACACCUGUGGCGAAAGCGGCUCACUGGACCACAACUGACGCUGAGGCGCGAAAGCUAGGGGAGCAAACAGG
rnacentral:rRNA from 1 species